rnacentral:rRNA from 1 species
CCUACGGGAGGCAGCAGUAGGGAAUCUUCCACAAUGGGCGAAAGCCUGAUGGAGCAACGCCGCGUGGGUGAAGAAGGUCUUCGGAUCGUAAAACCCUGUUGUUAGAGAAGAAAGUGCGUGAGAGUAACUGUUCACGUUUCGACGGUAUCUAACCAGAAAGCCACGGCUAACUACGUGCCAGCAGCCGCGGUAAUACGUAGGUGGCAAGCGUUAUCCGGAUUUAUUGGGCGUAAAGGGCACGCAGGCGGUCUUUUAAGUCUGAUGUGAAAGCCUUCGGCUUAACCGGAGUAGUGCAUUGGAAACUGGGAAACUUGAGUGCAGAAGAGGAGAGUGGAACUCCAUGUGUAGCGGUGAAAUGCGUAGAUAUAUGGAAGAACACCAGUGGCGAAAGCGGCUCUCUGGUCUGUAACUGACGCUGAGGUUCGAAAGCGUGGGUAGCAAACAGGAUUAGAUACCCCAGUAGUC